GAUGAAGAACGUAGCGAAAUGCGAUAAGUAAUGUGAAUUGCAGAAUUCAGUGAAUCAUCGAAUCUUUGAACGCACCUUGCGCCCUUUGGCUAUUCCGAAGGGCAUGCCUGUUUGAGUAUCAUGAACACCUCAACUCUCAUGGGUUUGCCAUGAUGAGCUUGGACUUUGGGGGUCUUGCUGGCCCAUGGUCAGCUCCUCUCAAAUGGAUCAGCUUGCCAGUGUUUGGUGGCACCACAGGUGUGAUAACUAUCUACGCUUGUGGCCUUCCACCAGGUAACCUUCAGUGAUGAAGGUUCGCUGGGGCUUAUAAAUGUCUCUCCUCAGUGGAGACGGCUUUUUUGAAUGUUUGAUCUCAAAUCAGGUAGGACUACCCGCUGAACUUAAGCAUAUCAAUAAGCGGAGGA
rnacentral:misc_RNA from 1 species